GCUUGGGUAGCUCAGUUGGUAGAGCACUUGCCCGCGGAAGGCAAAGGUCCCGAGUUCGAGUCUCGGUCCGGAACA
rnacentral:tRNA from 1 species